UGGGGAAUAUUGCACAAUGGGCGCAGGCCUGAUGCAGCAACGCCGCGUGAGGGACGACGGCCUUCGGGUUGUAAACCUCUUUUAGUAGGGAAGAAGCGAAAGUGACGGUACCUGCAGAAAAAGCACCGGCUAACUACGUGCCAGCAGCCGCGGUAAUACGUAGGGUGCGAGCGUUGUCCGGAAUUAUUGGGCGUAAAGAGCUCGUAGGCGGUCUGUCGCGUCUGCUGUGAAAACCCGAGGCUCAACCUCGGGCCUGCAGUGGGUACGGGCAGACUAGAGUGCGGUAGGGGAGAAUGGAAUUCCUGGUGUAGCGGUGGAAUGCGCAGAUAUCAGGAGGAACACCGAUGGCGAAGGCAGUUCUCUGGGCCGUAACUGACGCUGAGGAGCGAAAGCGUGGGGAGCGAACAGGAUUAGAUACCCUGGUAGUCCACGCCGUAAACGUUGGGCGCUAGAUGUGGGGACCAUUCCACGGUUUCCGUGUCGCAGCUAACGCAUUAAGCGCCCCGCCUGGGGAGUACGGCCGCAAGGCUAAAACU
rnacentral:rRNA from 1 species